GGGACUCCAGCCAGCAGUCAAUGAGGAACUGAGGUCUCCAAUCCAGCAACCCAAGAGGAACGGAAUCCUGCCAACAAGCAAUUGCGGUACAGUCCAUCAUGAAGGGACGUCAAGGCAGGAACUCAAGGCCAGAGUGAAGCAGAGGUCAUAGAAGAACGCCGCUCAUGGCUUGCUCCCUCAGCUCACUCUUUUAUAACAUCCACAAUCAAAUGUCCACGGGUGACGCCACCCACAGCAGGCUAGACCCUCCCACCUCAAUCAGUAUCCAAGGAUAUGUCCCAAAGGCCAUGAUGGAGGCCUCCUCUCGAUAGAGGUUCCCACGCUUAUGUCAAGCUGACAACUAACCAAUACACUUGUCCACCCCCUCCUGGUAGCCAUUACUGCUCUGGGACAGCUAACAAUAGCAGAACUAUGAACAGAUCUGCCUGCAGACUAUAGAAAUGUGUAACCCAAAACCCAAACAAAAUGACAGUUGAUCCAGAUGUCCUCGGCUGCAGGUCAACAGAGUCUUUCGUUACUCAUAUCUCAUUCAUCCAUGGGCUACAAGUUGUGGAAAGGGAGUCAGAGUGGAGUUUUGCAAGAUUUCCAUUCAAAUAUGUUUUAGAACAAUUUCUUUUUACAUUUUAUUUAGAGAGAGAGCAUAUGUAUAUCUGCAUGCAUGCACACACAAGUCAUGGUUUGUGGAUAGAGGUCAGAGGACAACCUGUGGGAACCAGUUUUCUCCUUCUAACAUGUGGGUUCCAGGGAUCUCACAUCAUCAGGCCUGGUGGCAGACACCUUCACCUCCGGUCUAGAAACAACUUUAAGUGGCACAAUGUAAACACGUUGUUAGGCCCCACCAAAGGCACUAGGAGGUGACCCAGGAAAUCUAGGGCCUGGACAACUAGAUUUCUCUUACUUCAUAGUACACCUCUCCCUGUUCUGGAACUUCAUGAGCUUCUACUGACCCCUCCGUGGUCCCUGAAGAAGUGGGGACACAAUGGGGUGGGAGAGAGCUUGUGCUAGACACACGUCUCUGUGUUCACUUGGGUGGGCUCUCAGUGCACACACGUAGGAGGACUUUGACUUUCCCCCUCCAUUCUCCCUUGUGUUCCCAUGUGAACGAAACUGCCCCUAUGGCUUCUCUUUCUCACCCUGGGAGGCCCUCAUCCUCCUUAGAGACUAUAUCCUCAGUCUCUUGUCUUAACAUUAAUUUUUAAAAAUUUUUUUAUCUUAUGUGCAUUAGUGUUAUGCUUGCACAUAUGUAUACGUGAGGAUGUCAAAUCUCCUGGAACUGGGGUUACAGACAGUUGUGAUUGGCCAUGUGGGUGUUGGAAAUUGAACCCAUACCCUCUGGAAGAGCAGUCAGUGCUCUUAACCUCUGAGCCAUCUCUCCAGCCCAAAGUUUUUGCUUGUUUGCCUGCUUGCUUUGCUUUGUUUUAGUACUAGGAAAGAACCUGUUUUAUUUAUCAAGAAAGUAAGUAUAGGCUGGGCGGUGGUGGAACAUGCCUUUAAUCUCAACACCCAGGGAGGAAGAGGCAGUCAGAUCUCUGAUUUCCAGGCCAGUCUAGUCUAGUCUACAGAGUGAGCUCCAGGACAGUCAGGGAUACACAGAGAAAUUCUGUCUCAAAAAAAAAAAAAAAAAAAAAAGUCAGUUUCUCCUCGCACCGUGGGUUCUACAGACCAAACUUAGAUCACCAGACUCAGCAGCAGUGCCUUUGCCCACUUAGCUGUCUUACUGCAAGAUAAUUUUGUUUUAGUAAGAUGAUGUCCAGACCCGUGUCUAAAACUAGUCUCAAUAGCUCUAGCCAAUAUUUUCCUUAAACAAUGUCAGAACGAACUGUCAUUCAAGAGCUACUGCAUAACCUAGGGCUAUUGUUAAGUACUUUUCCUUUAAAUUCUUAUCUGGAAAAGAUCUGACAUGACCGAAAAAUAAAACAAACCCAAAAAUUCCCUAAGAUCCAAGAUUUGAAAUUAAAAAAAAAAAAACCUCCAGAUCUCAACAUGAAAUGAUCCAAAAUAGGCAAUAUAAUUUUCACGUCUUUUGGAAAAAUACUGAGUCAUAUUGCCCACCCACAUCUUGCAGAAACAACAGAAAUUCAAUGAUUCGAGCAGGACACACUCUGUCAUUGUCUGAAGUAAACACUUGAGUCAUUCCGGAAAAUUAGGAGCCAAGUCUCUUCAGUGACAAAAGUUUAGAUCCCGUGUCCCGAGGACAAUUUUGCAAUGAGUUCCUUUCAGUCCCAAACGUAUGUUUUUCUUGUACCACAGAUACCUCGGAGCCAGAUAGUGUUCCUUUCACGAGGACAACAACUGUCAUGUGUUGAACAGACUAUGGUGAAUGGGCUGUGUCAUUCAUUCAAGCACAGCACAGCUAAAAGUCUGACCGGCAGCGAUUAGGACUCCAUCAACAGUCCUCAGGGAGCAGGCCCAAUAGCCCAGGACAAAGGAUGGGAAAGGCUCCUACAGGCCCAGCAACCCGCAGGACAGAUGGGGGCCACACCUCCUUGCUCUCGCAGCUCCCCUCCUCCUGCAGCCGGGCCUCCGUUCUGUUCCCCCACAGCAGCAGCCUAGCCCUCCUCUCCGAUUGUUCUUCUCUGCCCUCCUGAUCCCAGGAGCUCCUUUCUUUCUUCCUGCAGGCUGCUCGGGGGCGCCUGUACAUCAUUGCUUAGCUGUGUCUGGUGGCAGAAACAGCUCCCUUCAUGGUCGUCCUGUGGAAAAGAAAUUCUGAAAAAGCCAUCCCCGAGCCGGUCAGCCCGAAAGGAGCAGACUUGGCCCUCUUUUUUCUUCCCUGAGGAGCCCCGGGACCUCCGUUUUUCCCCCUCUCCUUUGCUCUCCAACCCCGGUGUUGUAAUUUGCCUCAUCUGGAUGACUCCCAGAAUGUUGCCAAUUGCCUCCUGGCUACUAAACGAGGCCCACUCUCAGCGGCCCCAGACAGCAGUGACACCCAUUCUCUUAGAAUACUUGGUUGAUGGGCAUAGUACCCCCUCAUUGUCUCUGCAUUUAUCACAGCCCAGUCAGCCAGGCCUUUUCUCUUCAUCCCCUUCGGCUGACGUCUUUUCUGACUCCUCCCCAGACGGGAACCUCUUUGACCUGCCAAUUAAGCUGGCCUAAGCAUGUGUGUCUACCUAUAGAAAAUGCUCACCACCACCCCCACCCUCAUCUCUCGGCAGCUUAAAGUCUCUUAAAGGAAAACUCAAACGCCAGCUCCUCCUAAAACCCUAAUGAAUUCUUCAACAGGGAGCUCUAAUGGUGCCUUUCUGUUGUUUCUCUCCUUACCUGACCAACUGGAUUGUCCUUGGCCCUCCUGGAUAGAGACCUCUAGUUAAUUUUGCUAUCCCUACGAAAUCUUUUCAGGUAAGCUUCUGCCUCAGAUGUGAUCCUGUGCUUGUUAUUUAAUCCGGGUCAUUUUUGUUUAUCUUUAAUGUCUGUAUCUAUCAAGUUCUUUCUUUCCUGCACUUUGGAGCAUAUGAAGUAUAUUUACUAUAUAAAUUUACUUUAUUAAUUCUG